UCAGAGCAGUCUGCUGGGCCCACGUGGGCUGAUGACCACACGGGGGAUGCAGUUUCUGGUUCUGGGCCUCUGCUGCAUUCUCUCGGGGGUGGGUACUGACAGGACGCUGGCUUGGUAAACACUGGAGGACUUGAAGAUAGGGCCACCGGGCAUCUUGAGGGACAGGGACGUCCCUCAGUCCUAGAGGGCUUGGAAGGGGGUGGGCUGUGACCAGCAGGCUGGAGGCGGUGGUCGGCACACCCAGAGCGAGCUGUGUUUGUCCAGUGCUCUGCCCGCAUACAGGACUUGGGGGGGCUGUGGACAGGGCCUGCCUCCCCGCUGCCUGUGUACAUGCGGGUCUCUGGCCUGGUGAGUGGCCAGGCGGGAGGGCGGUGGGUCCCAGAGGUGCUGAGGCCGCCUGUCCCUGCAGAUCCACAAGCUGCUGCAGGUGUCUGUGCUGGUGGUGGAGCUCCUGGAUUCAGGCUCCUCCGUGCUGGUGGGCCUGGAGGACGGCUGGGACAUCACCACCCAGGUGUGUGGCGUGUGGGGCUGGGGUGGGCCAGGCUCCCGGGCUCCUCGCUGACCUCCUGGCGGUGCUGGCAGGUGGUAUCCUUGGUGCAGCUGCUCUCAGACCCCUUCUACCGCACGCUGGAGGGCUUUCGCCUGCUGGUGGAGAAGGAGUGGCUGUCCUUCGGCCAUCGCUUCAGCCACCGUGGAGCCCACACCCUGGCCGGGCAGAGCAGCGGCUUCACACCCGUCUUCCUGCAGUUCCUGGACUGCGUACACCAGGUCCACCUGCAGUUCCCCAUGGAGUUUGAGUUCAGCCAGUUCUACCUCAAGUUCCUCGGCUACCACCAUGUGUCCCGCCGUUUCCGGACCUUCCUGCUCGACUCUGACUAUGAGCGCAUUGAGCUGGGUAUGUGGAGAGUCGGGGCUGGGGCAGCCACGGGUCAGGAGGGGCCCAGGCUCAGUGCUGCUUCUGUGCAGGGCUGCUGUAUGAGGAGAAGGGGGAACGCAGGGGCCAGCUGCCGUGCAGGUCUGUGUGGGAGUAUGUGGACCGGCUGAGCAAGAGGACGCCUGUGUUCCACAAUUACAUGUAUGCGCCCGAGGACGCAGAGGUAAGCUGGGGCCUGGGUCGGGUAGGCGGCUCCUGCCCGACCCAGGUCCUCAACCACAGGCCCACCCUCAGGUCCUGCGGCCCUACAGCAACGUGUCCAACCUGAAGGUGUGGGACUUCUACACUGAGGAGACGCUGGCCGAGGGCCCUCCCUAUGACUGGGAACUGGCCCAGGGGCCCCCUGAACCCCCAGAGGAAGAACGGUCUGAUGGAGGCGCUCCCCAGAGCAGGCGCCGCGUGGUGUGGCCCUGUUACGACAGCUGCCCGCGGGCCCAGCCUGACGCCAUCUCACGCCUGCUGGAGGAGCUGCAGAGGCUGGAGACAGAGUUGGGCCGACCCACUGAGCGCUGGAAGGACACCUGGGACCGGGUGAAGGCUGCACAGCGCCUCGAGGGCCGGCCCGACGGCCGUGGCACCCCUAGCUCCCUCCUCGUGUCCACCGCACCCCACCACCGUCGCUCGCUGGGUGUGUACCUGCAGGAGGGGCCUGUGGGCUCCACCCUGAGCCUCAGCCUGGACAGCGACCAGAGUAGUGGCUCAACCACAUCCGGCUCCCGCCAGGCUGCCCGCCGCAGCACCAGCACCCUGUACAGCCAGUUCCAGACAGCAGAGAGUGAGAACAGGUCCUACGAGGGCACUCUGUACAAGAAGGGGGCCUUCAUGAAGCCUUGGAAGGCCCGCUGGUUCGUGCUGGACAAGACCAAGCACCAGGUGAGUGAUCAGGUGGUGGGGGGUACUCACGGGGGAGGGGGCUCCGCUGACUCUGUGGCCUCCUCCAGCUGCGCUACUACGACCACCGUGUGGACACAGAGUGCAAGGGUGUCAUCGACUUGGCGGAGGUGGAGGCUGUGGCACCUGGCACGCCCACUAUGGGUGCCCCUAAGACUGUGGACGAGAAGGCCUUCUUUGACGUGAAGACAACGCGUCGCGUUUACAACUUCUGUGCCCAGGACGUGCCCUCGGCCCAGCAGUGGGUGGACCGGAUCCAGAGCUGCCUGUCGGACGCCUGAGCCUCCCAGCCCUGCCCGGUUGCUCUGCUUCCAGUCAUUACCGACCACUAGGGGUGGGCAGGGCCGCCCCGGCCAUGUUUACAGCCCCGGCCCUCGACAGUAUUGAGGCCCCGAGCCCCCAGCACUUGUGUGUACAGCCCCCGUCCCCGCCCCGCCCCGCCCGGCCGGCCCUAACUUAUUUUGGCGUCACAGCUGAGCACCGUGCCGGGAGGUGGCCAAGGUACAGCCCGCAAUGGGCCUGUAAAUAGUCCGGCCCCGUCAGCGUGUGCUGGUCCAGCCAGCGGCUGCAGGCGAGUUUCUAGAACCAGAGUCUAUA
rnacentral:sRNA from 1 species